UGCUCUCUCACUCACAUUUAAACUGGUUUACCUCCGCUGAAUUCAGUGGAGUUACUUCUGAUUGACCCCAGCGUAGGACUGCACAGAAUCAGGCCCCACGCCUGUUUCACGGGUUAACAGGUUUUCAAGACUGUCACUGGCCAGAUCCACUGAGGCAAAGCAGCAUAGCUCCCUUCAAGAUGGCCCCUUGUCAGAAAGCAUUAAUUAUACAACUUGCUAAGGAAGGGGGUAUGAUGCACAGGAAGAAAAGAGAGGUGAG